rnacentral:rRNA from 1 species
GAUGAACGCUGGCGGCGUGCCUAAUACAUGCCAGUAGAACGCUGAAGGAGGAGCUUGCUCUUCUGGAUGAGUUGCGAACGGGUGAGUAACGCGUAGGUAACCUGCCUGGUAGCGGGGGAUAACUAUUGGAAACGAUAGCUAAUACCGCAUGACAACAGUUAUUGCAUGAUAACUGUUUAAAAGGGGCAACUGCUCCACUACCAGAUGGACCUGCGUUGUAUUAGCUAGUUGGUGAGGUAACGGCUCACCAAGGCGACGAUACAUAGCCGACCUGAGAGGGGUGUCGGCCACACUGGGACUGGGACACGGCCCAGACUCCUACGGGGGGCAGCAGUAGGGGAUCUUCGGCAAUGGACGGAAGUCUGACCGAGCAACGCCGCGUGGGUGAAGAAGGGUUUCGGGUCGUAAAGCUCUGUUGUAAGGGAAGAACGAGUGUGAGAGUGGAAAGUUCACACUGUGACGGUAUCUUAACAGAAAGGGACGGCUAACUACGUG